rnacentral:rRNA from 1 species
AGAGUUUGAUCCUGGCUCAGAUUGAACGCUGGCGGCAUGCCUUACACAUGCAAGUCGAACGGCAGCACGGGGGCAACCCUGGUGGCGAGUGGCGAACGGGUGAGUAAUGCAUCGGAACGUGCCCAGUAGUGGGGGAUAACCAGUCGAAAGAUUGGCUAAUACCGCAUACGACCUACGGGUGAAAGCGGGGGACCGUAAGGCCUCGCGCUAUUGGAGCGGCCGAUGUCUGAUUAGCUAGUUGGCGGGGUAAGAGCCCACCAAGGCGACGAUCAGUAGCUGGUCUGAGAGGACGACCAGCCACACUGGGACCGAGACACGGCCCAGACUCCUACGGGAGGCAGCAGUGGGGAAUUUUGGACAAUGGGCGCAAGCCUGAUCCAGCCAUGCCGCGUGCGGGAAGAAGGCCUUCGGGUUGUAAACCGCUUUUGGCAGGAACGAAACGGCGACUCCUAAUACGAGUCGUUAAUGACGGUACCUGCAGAAUAAGCACCGGCUAACUACGUGCCAGCAGCCGCGGUAAUACGUAGGGUGCAAGCGUUAAUCGGAAUUACUGGGCGUAAAGCGUACGCAGGCGGCUUUGCAAGACAGGUGUGAAAUCCCCGGGCCUAACCUGGGAACUGCAUUUGUGACUGCAUGGCUAGAGUCUGUCAGAGGGGGGUGGAAUUCCACGUGUAGCAGUGAAAUGCGUAGAGAUGUGGAAGAACACCGAUGGCGAAGGCAGCCCCCUGGGAUGAGACUGACGCUCAUGUACGAAAGCGUGGGGAGCAAACAGGAUUAGGUACCCUGGUAGUCCACGCCCUAAACGAUGUCUACUAGUUGUCGGAGGGUAACUCCUUCGGUAACGCAGCUAACGCGUGAAGUAGACCGCCUGGGGAGUACGGUCGCAAGAUUAAAACUCAAAGGAAUUGACGG